GACGAACGCUGGCGGCGUGCUUAACACAUGCAAGUCGAACGGAAAGGCCCCUUUGGGGGUACUCGAGUGGCGAACGGGUGGGUAACACGUGCGUAACCUGCCCUUGACUUCGGGAUAACUUCAGGAAACUGGGGCUAAUACCGGAUAGGAAUCCUUGCUGCCUGGUGGGGGUUGGAAAGCUUCGGCGGUUUUGGAUGGACUCGCGGCUUAUCAGCUUGUUGGUGGGGUAGUGGCUUACCAAGGCUUUGACGGGUAGCCGGCCUGAGAGGGCGACCGGCCACAUUGGGACUGGGAGACGGCCCAGACUCCGACGGGGGGCAGCAGGGGGGAAUAUUGCACAAUGGGCGGGAGCCUGAUGCAGCAACGCCGCGGGCGGGAUGACGGCCUUCGGGUUGGAAACCGCUUUCAGCAGGGGCGAAGCUUGUGGUGACGGUACCUGCAGAAGAAGCACCGGCUAACUACGUG
rnacentral:rRNA from 1 species